CAUCGUGUAGAUUUGGGAAACAUCUCCAUGCGUACAAAGGGGUAGAAGUCGCUUCCACAGCAUCAUAAGUGACAUUUUUUGGUUUUAGUUCUCAGGUUUGAAGACACAGAGACACACUCAUUGUUGUCCAUGGAAAGGUGGAUUUGUCAUAAGGACACAAAGCAUUCUUUGGGGAAUCCAGGAGUAGGCGGUGGAAUACAGCCUGGCCCCAUGGACUAGAACAGAGGGUCCGUGGUCUUUCAUUCAUGACGUCCCUGCUUUUCUCUGUGCACCAAGUUCAUUUUCCUGUUUCUACUGGUCAGGCUUCCCAUGCCUUCAGCUUGUCCAUAGUCCGUAAUAGCCCUCUGGCCCCGAGUCACCUCACCCUCAGUUCCUUCUCCAGAGCCCACCGAUUCAGAGUUUCCAUUGCCUGAUUCAGUAUUUCUAAGUGAUCACUCAUCAGCUCAGCUCAGCCUUCUGAGCCAGAUCACCAGAGACAUCAUUACUGGCAACCUGUGGAUACAUUUAGAAACAACAGUGCAGACGUGACUGGGGAAAGACAGCAUAAUUAUUUUACUAUUUAAUUAUACUGAUAUUGGAACUAUAUCUCCAGGUUGUAGUUAACAUGUGUUAAGCCACAUGAUGAACAUUUUGGACUGUCGGUGAGGUGUUUGAGACUGUUUGUGCUAUGGCUUAUUCAACAGUGGACAGACAUGCUAGUUGUAACAGUACAGGUAUACAAAUGACUAAACAGCAGCAAUACAUUUUUUUUUUUUUAAAGAGAAUUUGAAUGACAACAAGGUGUUGCGUAGUCAGAGUUCCCAGAAUUUUCCAUUCUAUUUUGACUUUCGCUUAGAGGGUUUAAGUGGCCCUUCCAGAAUGCACUCGGCAGCUUUGGGAAAGGAUCAGAAACGGAGGCAAUGGUCAAGACAAAUGGAAUCUGAGCUACUAUGUUGGAAGAAUGCAAUGAAGACUGAAGGGCAGAAGGAAGGUAUUGGCUGGAGCUGUGAGUUCAAAUUUCCUCUCAAGUCUUGUUUAGAAAUUUAGAAGAAACUUUUACGUUUAGUCUAGUAUGACCCUUGUAGACUUUGAGAAAAUAAUUUGAUGAAACAAAUGAUUAGAAGACUUAGAAAGAGUCAUCUAAACCUCACAAUAGCCCAGAAGCUUAGAAAUCUAUACCUCU
rnacentral:lncRNA from 1 species